UCUGCAGUCAUUCAUUUUUAUUCUGUAUUUUUUCUUCGUUUUUCUCCCUAAAUUUUAAUGGUUACUAGCGAUGAAGAGAAUUACCUAUUUUCCGAUUGCAGCAUCGUGCUGCAGCGUGAAUCAUUCUAUUCGGUUCGUAUUCACUGAGCAAUUUGUUUUAUUUUCCCCAAAUGCUUAUUCCAUUUUGAAUUCGAUUUGUUUUUCGAUCUGAAUCGAAUGCAAAUUCCUAUCUCGAUUCUAAAUUUCAACGAUUCUAACGAAGGACCUAUAGACGAGAGGCGAUUUGAAAAUGCCGAUUCAGUCAAGUUUACCUUCGCAAAUGGAUAUCGUUCUGAAUUUUGAUCGCCGAUCCGGAUCUGUUAGUUUCGGUUCCCAGCGGAGAGGAAGCGGUCUUGAACGACACCUCUCUAACACAUGAUUUACACCUUCGCAAAUGGAUAUUGGCCAUCUUAAACGCGCUUCUGAAAAUUUCGAUUUUAGAUGCGUUUUGAACCCUUUGGCUAUAUUUUCCUCAAUGACACUAUAUAGUUUUCAUUAUUAUCUUAGUUUUUCAUUUUCAUGUCCUUGAGAUCAGUAUUUUAUAAUUUGAUUUAGCUUUGUUCCAAUUGACGAACAAGUGUAUUAUAAACCCCAAAUAUAGCAUGAACUUUAUUUCUCUCACGCAGUAUAAUUACGGUGACAUGUUAUUGUAA